GACGAACGCUGGCGGCGUGCUUAACACAUGCAAGUCGAGCGAUGAAAUUCCUUCGGGAAUGAAUUAGCGGCGGACGGGUGAGUAACACGUGGGUAACCUGCCUUGUAGAGGGGAAUAGCCUUCCGAAAGGAAGAUUAAUACCGCAUAAGAUUGUAGUAUCGCAUGAUAUAGCAAUUAAAGGAGCAAUCCGCUAUGAGAUGGACCCGCGUCGCAUUAGCUAGUUGGUGAGGUAACGGCUCACCAAGGCGACGAUGCGUAGCCGACCUGAGAGGGUGAUCGGCCACAUUGGGACUGAGACACGGCCCAGACUCCUACGGGAGGCAGCAGUGGGGAAUAUUGCACAAUGGGGGAAACCCUGAUGCAGCAACGCCGCGUGAGUGAUGACGGUCCUCGGAUUGUAAAACUCUGUCUUCAGGGACGAUAAUGACGGUACCUGAGGAGGAAGCCACGGCUAACUACGUGCCAGCAGCCGCCGUAAUAC
rnacentral:rRNA from 1 species